CUGGGUUUGACAUGCACUGGACCGGCGUAGAGAUACGCCUUCCCUUGUGGCUGGUGCACAGGUGGUGCAUGGCUGUCGUCAGCUCGUGUCGUGAGAUGUUGGGUUAAGUCCCGCAACGAGCGCAACCCUUGUCCCAUGUUGCCAGCGGGUAAUGCCGGGGACUCGUGGGAGACUGCCGGGGUCAACUCGGAGGAAGGUGGGGACGACGUCAAGUCAUCAUGCCCCUUAUGCCCAGGGCUUCACACAUGCUACAAUGGCCAGUACAGAGGGUUGCGAGACCGUGAGGUGGAGCGAAUCCCUUAAAGCUGGUCUCAGUUCGGAUCGUAGUCUGCAACUCGACUACGUGAAGUCGGAGUCGCUAGUAAUCGCAGAUCAGCAACGCUGCGGUGAAUA
rnacentral:rRNA from 1 species